rnacentral:rRNA from 1 species
AGAGUUUGAUCCUGGCUCAGGAUGAACUCUGGCGGCGUGCUUAACACAUUCAAGUCGAACGGACAACAGGGCUUCGGUUCUCUUGUUAGUGGCGGACGGGUAAGUAACGCGUGAAUAACCUGCCUGUGUGUGGGGGAUAACAUUUGGAAACGACUGCUAAUACCGCAUAACGUAAGAGGAUCGCAUGUUCUUCUUACCAAAGAUUGAUUGCGCACAGAUGGAUUCUCGUCCAAUUAUGAUAGUUGGCGGGAUAAGGGCCCACCAAGAUCGAUCAUUAGUAGCCGGAAUGAGAGGUAGAACGACCACAUUGGAAAUAAGAUACCCUCCAUACUCCUACAGGAGGCAGCAGUGAAUAAUAUUCAACAAUGGGAGACAUCAUCACCCAGCGACGCCGCAUGAGAGAAGAAGAUCUUCUGAUUGUAAUCUUUAGUCAACAGGGAAGAAACAAGUGACGGUACCUGUGGAAGAAGCCACGACUAACUACGCACCAGCAGCCGUGAUAAUAAGUAGGCGACGAUCGUUAUCAGGAUUUAGUGGGUAUAAAGGGUGAGUAGGAGAGACUAUUAGUCAGAUAUGUAAACUGCCGGCUCAAAUGACAGCCUUCAUUAGAAAAUUCCGUUGUUUAUUGUGGGAGAGGUAAGAAAUAUUCCCGGUGUAGCGAUGAAAUUAGUAGAUAUCAGGAGCAACACCAGUGAAGAAGGCGGCUUAGUGGAUCACAACUGACGAUGAGACAAGAAAGCGUGAGGAGCCAACAGGAUUCGAUACCAGGGUAGUCCGCGCAGUAAACGAUGAACGCUAGGUGUAGGGGUGCACAUCUGUGCGCCGCAGUUCACACAAUGUGUGUUCCACGUGGAGAGUGCGGCCGCGAGGUUGAAUCUCAAAGGAAUUGACGGGAGCCCGCACACGCAGUGGAGUAUGUGGUUUAUUUAGACGCAACGAGAAGCACCUUCGCAGGACUUCACAUCCCAAGAAGGGUAGAUAAUGAGAGCUGUGCCUUUCGGGGAAUUUGGAGCCAGGUGGUCCAUGGUGUUGUUCAGUUGGUGUGGUGAGAUGUUGGGUUAAUUCCCGCAAGGAGCGCACCCCUUACGUUCAGUUGUUACGCAAGAGCACUCUGGCGGGACUGCCGUUGACAAAACGGAGGAAGGUGGGGAUGACGUCAAAUCAUCAUGCCCCUUACGUUCCGGGCUACACACGUACUACAAUGGCGAAGACAAAGGGAAGGUAAGUCGCGAGGGGGAGCCAACCCCAUAAAAAUAGUCCCAGUUCGGAUUGCAGGCUGCAACCCGCCUGCACGAAGUUGGAAUUGCUAGUAAUCGCGGAUCAGCAUGCCGCGGUGAAUACGUUCCCGGGCUUUGCACUCACCGCCCGUCAA